rnacentral:lncRNA from 1 species
CUGCUGUGCACUGAACUGAACUGCUGCUGUGUACACAGAACUGCUGCUCUGCACACCGAACUGCUGCUGCUGUGCACCGAACUGCUGCUCUGCACACCGGGCUGCUGCUGCUGUGCACACCGAACUGCUGCUGUGCACACCGAACUGCUGCUGUGCACUGAACUGCUGCUGUGCGCUGUGCACACCAAACUGCUGCAGCGGGACCGGACUGUGCUCUGCACACCGAACUGCAGCUGUGCACACCGAACUGCAGCUGUGCACACCAGACUGCUGCUGUGCACACCGAACUGCAGCUGUGCACACCAAACUGCUCCUGUGCACAUCGAACUGCAGCUGUGCACACCGAACUGCAGCUGUGCACACCGGACUGCAGCUGUGCACACCGGACUGCAGCUGUGCACACCGAACUGCUCCUGUGCACACCGAACUGCAGCUGUGCACACCAAACUGCAGCUGUGCACACCGAACUGCAGCUGUGCACACCGGACUGCAGCUGUGCACACCGAACUGCAGCUGUGCACACCAAACUGCUCCUGUGCACACCGAACUGCAGCUGUGCACACCGAACUGCUGCUGUGCACACCGGGCGGCUGCUGUGCACACCGAACUGCAGCUGUGCACACCGAACUGCAGGUGUGCACACCGAACUGCUCCUGUGCACACCGAACAGCUGCUGUGCACACCGAACUGCUCCUGUGCACACCGAACUGCUGUUGUGCACACCAAACUGCUUCUGUGCACACCGAACUGCUGCUGUGCACACCAAACUGCAGCUGUGCACACCGAACUGCAGGUGUGCACACCGAACUGCUCCUGUGCACAUCGAACUGCUGCUGUGCACAUCGAACUGCAGCUGUGCACAUCGAACUGCUGCUGUGCACACCGAACUGCAGCUGUGCACACCGAACUGCAGCUGUGCACACCGAACUGCAGCUGUGCACACUGCCCGGCCCGGGACCGAACUGCUGGGGUGCCCGCUCUGGAGUUAAAUUCGUACUGAGAAGGGCGAGUGUGCAUGUGUCUGUAUAAAACACAUGCAAGCCAGCCUUUUAUUCUUGAUGAAUAGACUCUUAAUAUUUUGCUCAGCAAAGCUUUAUCUUAAAAUUAUCAAUACUAAGACUCAAUACUUUAAAUAUCAUAACCAGGGACAAAAAUUAUACUUGACGUUGAAUUUCGAUCACAAUUAUUCCUAUAGUUAGUGAAAAAUGAUAAUAAAAUAAAACUCAGUUGAUAUAUUUCAGAAUUCUGAUGUCUUUGGACUGUUUAUAUCUAAUUAAAAAUAUGUAAUAUUUUAUCUUAGGUACACUUAAGAUAUCAUUCCUGAAACAGUUAAAAAUACUCGAGUGGAAACUGAAAAGGAGACCCAGUGCAUUUAAACCCAGUAUGAUCUUAAAAAGUACUU